GGGCCCUUAGCUCAGUUGGUAGAGCGGUCGGCUCAUAACCGAUUGGUCGUAGGUUCGAGUCCUGCAGGGCCCACCA
rnacentral:tRNA from 5 species